rnacentral:rRNA from 1 species
AUGAGAGCAAUUAGUUGGAACUGCCGUGGAAUGUUGUCUUCCACGGCAGUUCGAGAGCUCCGGGAGCUCCAAGGUCGUAAUUGUGCGGAGUUGAUUUUUCUUUCCGAGUCGCAUUUGAAUAAAAGUAAAGCUGACGAGCUACGUUGUAUCUUAGGUUUUAGUUCCAUGUUUUUAGAUGAGAGUGAUGGCAAGUCUGGUGGUCUUGUCCUUUUUUAUCAAAAAGAGAAUAAAGUCGAGUUGAACUAUUUGUCUUCCCAUUUUAUUGAUGUUGUAUUUAUGAAUGAUAAUUCUGUAAAUUGG